AACCAGCACCUCAAGUGGUCAGGAGGAUUAUUGGGCCUAAAGCAUCCGUAGCCUGUUCUAUAAGUUUGCGGUUAAAUCCAUGUGCUCAACGCAUGGGCUGCCGAAAAUACUGCAUAGCUAGGGAGUGGGAGAGGUAGACGGUACUCAGUAGGAAGGGGUAAAAUCCUUUGAUCUAUUGAUGACCACCUGUGGCGAAGGCGGUCUACCAGAACACGUUCGACGGUGAGGGAUGAAAGCUGGGGGAGCAAACCGG
rnacentral:rRNA from 1 species